CACACACACCUUUUCGAAAGAAUACCAAUGAAACAAGAAGAAAUGAAGAAUGAAGAGAAGACGAAUGCGUGUGGUCUACUCUUACGGUUUUUUCGGGGGGUUGUCGUUGCUUUGCAUGUUUUAUAUGUUUUCCAGUU
rnacentral:ribozyme from 1 species